rnacentral:rRNA from 1 species
CGGAAAGUCCGGCGUGAAAGGCAGGGGCUCAACCUCUGGACUGCGUUGGAUACUUCCGUGCUUGAGGACUGGAGGGGAGACUGGAAUUCACGGUGUAGCAGUGAAAUGCGUAGAUAUCGUGAGGAAGACCGGUGGCGAAGGCGAGUCUCUGGACAGAUCCUGACGCUGAGGCACGAAGGCUGGGGGAGCGAACAGGAUUAGAUACCCUGGUAGUCCCAGCAGUAAACGAUGUGAGCUUGAUGUGGGGGGAUUCGACCCCUUCCGUGUCGAAGCUAACGCGAUAAGCUCACCGCCUGAGGAGUACGGCCGCAAGGCUAAAACUCAAAGAAAUUGACGGGGACCCGCACAAGCGGUGGAGUAUGUGGCUUAAUUCGAUGCAACGCGAAGAACCUUACCUGGCCUUGACAUGCAUUGUGUCGUCGGUGAAAGCCGGCUAGUCCUGGAAACAGGACGCUUUGCACAGGUGCUGCAUGGCUGUCGUCAGCUCGUGUCGUGAGAUGUUGGGUUAAGUCCCGCAACGAGCGCAACCCUUGUGGUCAGUUACUAACCGGCUUAGCCGGAGGACUCUGGCCAGACUGCCCUGUCAAACGGGGAGGAAGGUGGGGACGACGUCAAGUCAGUAUGGCCCUUAUGGCCAGGGCUGCACACGUACUACAAUGCCCGGUACAAUGUGAACCGAAACCGCGAGGUGGAGGAAAUCGCUCUUGAAAACCGGGCCCAGUUCGGAUUGGAGUCUGCAACUCGACUCCAUGAAGUCGGAAUCGCUAGUAAUGGCGUAUCAGCAACGACGCCGUGAAUACGUUCCCGGGUCUUGUACACACCGCCCGUCACAUCAUGGAAGUCUCCUGUACCCGAAGCACGUGCGCCAACCUUUUAGGAGGCAGCGUUCGAAGGUAUGGGAGGCUAACUGGGAUGAAGUCGUAACA